AAAUUAAAUAUGGUUUAUGAGAAAUCCUUCUAGCUUUUUUAUAUUAUAUAUAAAAUAUAAAAAUAGAAAAUUUAAUUCAUUUUAAUAAUUAUCUAUUAUUGAGAGUUAGAUUGAAUUUGUAGCUAAAUUUGUGCCAGCAGCAGCGGUUAAACAAAUAGAAUUAUUCUCAGUAUAAUAAAUUUUAAACUAAAAAAAUAAAUUUUUUUAGAAAUUAAAGGUGAAAUUUCUUUUCUAUAUAAAAAAUAUAUAAAAUUUUAAUUCCUUCUUUAAACUAGGAUUAGAUACCCUAUUAUUUAGGAGCUUGAUAUUGUAAGUAAAUAUUAAUUACGAAAGCAAAAUAUUAUGGCGGUAUUCUAAGCUUUUCAGAGGAAUUUGCUCUUUAAUGGACAAAACACCCAAAUCUUACUUUAAUUUGUAAAGACAAUUUGUAUACCACUAUUAAAAUAAUAAUGCAAAAUUAUUAUUAAAAUAUAAUAUUAAUAUAUAUAUAUAUAUAUAUAUACAAAAUUAAGUCAAGGUGCAGUAUAAGUUAAAGUAUGAAGUGAAUUACAUUGCUUAAAAGAAACAAAAAAUGAAAUAUUAAGGUUAGGAUUUGAAAGUAAAGUUAAAAUAGAAAGUUAGUUUGAAUAAAGCUCUAGAAUAUGUACAUAUCGCCCGUCACUCUUUUUUAAGAUAAGUCGUAACAAAGUUAAAGUACUGGAAAGUGUUUU
rnacentral:ncRNA from 1 species